rnacentral:lncRNA from 1 species
AUGCCUGCGGAAGGGGAAGGGCUCCAGAGGACCAGUUCCACCUUCCAGAUGUGCUGUAAAGCACACAGACAGGUGAAUCCGCUGAUCGUAAGGAAAGCAGAUGUCAGCAGGACUGAUGGGAAAGACAUCUUGAGCAGAGCACCGCCAGCCUCCCAUCCCCGCACUCCCACACAGGUUUCAGGAGUGAGGCAGCACCCUCCUGGGCACUCUCGCAUCCUACCCCUUGCAGGGUGGGGACCAGCUUUCUGGGGGCAGGAGGGAGACACAGUGAAAGCGAGCAGUAGACCUUGGGACCCCACCCCCAUUCCUCUCUGGGCCUCAGUCCUCCUUCCUUAAACAGAGAAGGCUGGCCUCAGUGGCCGGGAAGGCCUCUUCCAGUGUGCACGGGAUCCUGUACCCUGAGGAAAGCAGACUUACAGGGGGACACCCCACAAUGUUCUGGGAGGUUGCACCUCAGUGGCUUCUGAAUUAUGUUGGGGAUGGGGCAGCUCUUUCGUCCCCUGUAAGCUAUUUGUAGCAGCUCAUACUUAACAGAGCAAGCGCUACCCACAGGUCAGGUGCUGCGUAAGCACUUUGUAGCAUUACCGCACUCAGAGCUCCCCACCAGCCUACUGGGCCUUGCAUCAUCUCCAUUUCACAGAUACAGAAAGCCAAGCACAGGGGGGUUAAGCAAUUUGUCUUAGGUCACACAGCAGGUAGUGGCAGGCCUGGACCCAGACUCCUGACCGUAGCCACUGCGGCUCUGUCCCUCCGCUACCCAGGUAACUGAGAGCUCACCAAGCUUGCUGGGGGGUAGGGGGGUCGGGGGUGGGGGGGGUAGGCGGUGGGGGGGACAGUUCUGGCCUCACCACAGGACACUGGGACCAGAAGACCUCACCAACUAACUCAGGGGCUCCCAUAACACUCUGUGGAAACCCUAAACCUAGUGAUAUUUAUAGGACUCACUUCCACAACAGCUGUCCCAAUAAGAUAGCUCGUGACUCAAGGAGCAGGGAGUGACGGGGACACAAUGGCUUAGUUUUCUUUCUCCUUUUCCCUUAAAUCACGGUCUUAUUUUUUCAGAACAGAGCGACCACUUGAGUCCCUGACUGGGCAGCCCCUGGCAUCUCUGAGUGCAGCACCUAAUCCUCCAGCGCUCUUUAUCAAAUACCCCGGCCUUUAAAGUGUUAUUAAAUGCCUUUUUUUGGAUUAUAAUUUUUACUCUUGAUUAUAUGAUGACUAUAUAAUCAAAUAUUCAUUGGAUAAUGAUGAUUAAAAUAUAUAAUCCCCCAAAAGAUGUUUAGAACAAUUUAGGCUACCAUUGACUUAAUUAAGGGAGUUAGGGGAUUAGCAGGGAAGUAAAGGGCUAAUUUUUUUAGAACUAAUUUCGUGGUUCUUGUGGCUCUGAAAUCAGAGGGAAAAAGGGAUCGAUGGGGGUGAUAGCAGGCAAGGAUACAGUGGUCACCUGCACCAGGGGACCUCCAUCCUUCCAGGCGGCAGAUUAGGAUGAUCCCACUGGUGCAGAAGGAGUGGGAGCCCUCCAGGUGCUGAGCAAGCAGGGGUCAACCUGCAGAAGCUGAGUGCACGGGACCCGUCUCCAUGCCGACUAGCACGCCUGGUGUCCCAGCCCAAUGUGAUGUUGCUCAUGCUGCUCAUUAAACCGAAUGACAUUCACACUCUCACUUCUGUGCAACCCUGAGGAAGCCUCUGGGGUCCACUGCCUCCCUGGGUCCUCCUGGGGUGGGGGUUGGGGGGCUCUCACUGGAACCAGAGUCUGUCACCUAGCAGGGCCGGCUCCCUGUUCAUGGGAGGCUUGGCUCUACAUGCCUCUCCAGACUCCGCUUGAGCUUCAGCUGAGUGCAUGCUGUCGUCUUGCAUCUUUCUAAAUCAGAGGUGGUAGAGGACAGAACCAUGCCCUUGGGUUCCAGGUGACAGGCUUUACUAGCCUUGUACCAUGCCAAGGCCACCAUGCAGUGCAGGCCACUGCUUCCUCAGAGCUUAAUUUGUGGAGCAUGUGACUCUGGCUCUCAGGGUUAUGAGCUCGAGCCCUAGGUCAGUGAUACAGUUUACUUCAAAGAAGAAAGAAAAGGAAGGAAGGAAGGAAGGAAGGAAGGAAGGAAGGAAGGAAGGAAGGAAGGAAGGGAGGGAGGAAGGGAGGGAGGAAGGAGGAAGGGAGAAAGAAAGAAGGAGGGAGGGAGGGAAGGAAGGAAGGAAGGAAGGAAGGAAGGAAGGAAGGAAGGAAGGAAGGAAGGAAGGAAGGAAGGAAAGAAGGAAGGAUGGACCUGCCCAGAGUCACAAAGCCAGAAGACACUGGCCGAGCUACUGGGCACCUCUUCUCUCCCCUGCCCCUGGUGGCCGCAUGUGACUCUUACCCUGAAGCUGAGAGAACCCACAAGGGAGGGUUGGGAAGUUCCCCCGGUCUGGCCCACUGUGCCCCCCCUUCCCUUCCACCCCCUUCCAGGCUGAGUGGGGCGGUCUGUUGCGAUGCCUAAGCCCAGCACACAGUGAGAUAAGUAGACAUUUGCCUGAGAAUUAACUGCUGCUCAUUGACAGGCUGCAGAAAUCCACCCACCAACGGGCACUAAUGCCCAGUCUGCGCUGGGGUAGGGGAGGAGGGGAAGGGAAGGGAGAAUUGGGGCCAAAUUCCAUAAUCCAUAUUUACAUAAAUCUGCAGCUAAAAGCUGGG